rnacentral:lncRNA from 1 species
GAUGUUCUGUUGAGAAGCCUUUUGUUUAUUCUUAAACGCGUCGAACCAAGUAAACGACACAGUAUUGAUGUGAUCCUUGUCGGGAGAAAUGGGGAACCUGGACUCGACUGCACAAAGGGCUUUAAAAUAACUUUGCAGGAGGUCACGGCGUGCGGGCAACGAAUCAGAGGUGCCUCGUUCAAUAUCUGAUCGGAACUCCUUAAGCGUCUGGAGAUCGUCCUCCAAAUUCUGGGCUUCGCGCUCCGAGUAAUUGAUGACUAUAAAGUUGCGAAGCGGCCUGUAUAUAUCUAGCGAAUUGGUUUUCUUCUCGAAGAUUGCGAGCAUGAUUUUGGUGGUCGACGCCGUCGAAGUCGCCAUCGUCGGUGGGCGGUGGUGUAUCGGAAUUGGGGGAUAAUUGAUCUUGGAUUAAUUUAUAAAGUGAUUUUUGUAUUAUGAAAAAUUGUAGUCAACGGGAGCUUUGGGUGAAUGAAAAUUUCAACCGGCGUUUAUUAUUUCUUUUCUUUUUUGUUAUUUUGUUUUGCUUAAUUGGGAAGGAAGGAGGAGGGGCUUUUGGGUACAUAAGAAUAAUAUAAAGUCUGAUCUAGUUGAGUAACAAAUAAAAUUUCAAUCACCCGUGGAGGCAGUGAGACGUGGAAGAAGAUGAUUUUUUAUUUUUAUUCCUUCGGGGAAAAAAAAUUUUUUUACUUAAAAAAACCAAAAAAAAAAAAAAAAAAAAAAAACCUUGUGUAUUCCUCCCAGACCAAGAAUAUAGCAUUUAAGUGGUCUACUAUAAAUCUAAAUAUAGCAUUUAAGUGUUCUACCUAAAUGGAUGUUCUGUUGAGAAGCCUUUUGUUUAUUCUUAAACGCGUCGAACCAAGUAAACGACACAGUAUUGAUGUGAUCCUUGUCGGGAGAAAUGGGGAACCUGGACUCGACUGCACAAAGGGCUUUAAAAUAACUUUGCAGGAGGUCACGGCGUGCGGGCAACGAAUCAGAGGUGCCUCGUUCAAUAUCUGAUCGGAACUCCUUAAGCGUCUGGAGAUCGUCCUCCAAAUUCUGGGCUUCGCGCUCCGAGUAAUUGAUGACUAUAAAGUUGCGAAGCGGCCUGUAUAUAUCUAGCGAAUUGGUUUUCUUCUCGAAGAUUGCGAGCAUGAUGUUGGUGGUCGACGCCGUCG